rnacentral:rRNA from 1 species
GACGAACGCUGGCGGCGUGCUUAACACAUGCAAGUCGAACGGUAAGGCUCCAGCUUGCUGGGGUACACGAGUGGCGAACGGGUGAGUAACACGUGGGUGACCUGCCCUGCACUUCGGGAUAAGCCUGGGAAACUGGGUCUAAUACCGGAUAGGACCAUGGUGUGGAUACUGUGGUGGAAAGUUUUUUCGGUGUGGGAUGGGCCCGCGGCCUAUCAGCUUGUUGGUGGGGUAAUGGCCUACCAAGGCGGCGACGGGUAGCCGGCCUGAGAGGGUGGACGGCCACAUUGGGACUGAGACACGGCCCAGACUCCUACGGGAGGCAGCAGUGGGGAAUAUUGCACAAUGGGCGGAAGCCUGAUGCAGCGACGCCGCGUGGGGGAUGACGGCCUUCGGGUUGUAAACUCCUUUCACCAGCGACGAAGGGUUUCUGACGGUAGAUGGAGAAGAAGCACCGGCUAACUACGUG